rnacentral:rRNA from 1 species
ACACUGACGACAUGGUUCUACAAUCAACUUUCGAUGGUAGGAUAGAGGCCUACCAUGGUGGUAACGGGUAACGGGGUGUUAGGGCACGACACCGGAGAGGGAGCCUGAGAAACGGCUACCACAUCCAAGGAUGGCAGCAAGCGCGCAAAUUACCCAAUCCCGACACGGGGAGGUAGUGACAAUAAAUAACAAUACGGGGUUCUUUAGGAUCUCGUAAUUGGAAUGAGUACAAUUUAAAUCCCUUAACGAGGAACAAUUGGAGGGCAAGUCUGGUGCCAGCAGCCGCGGUAAUUCCAGCUCCAAUAGCGUAUAUUAAAGUUGUUGCAGUUAAAAAGCUCGUAGUUGAAUUUCGGGAUCAAAUUGUCGGUCGUGCUUCGGUACGUACUGGCAUUAUUGGUUUCUACCUUCUGAAGAACCGCGAUGUCAUUAAUUUGGUGUCGUGGGGAAUCAGGACUGUUACUUUGAAAAAAUUAGAGUGUUUAAAGCAGGCGCAUGCUUGAAUACAUUAGCAUGGAAUAAUGAAAUAGGACGUUUGAUUCUAUUUUGUUGGUUUCUAGGAUCGACGUAAUGAUUAAUAGGGAUAGUUGGGGGCAUUAGUAUUCAAUUGUCAGAGGUGAAAUUCUUGGAUUUAUUGAAGACUAACUAUUGCGAAAGCAUUUGCCAAGGAUGUUUUCAUUAAUCAAGAACGGAAGUUGGGGGCUCGAAGAUGAUCAGAUACCGUCCUAGUCUCAACCAUAAACGGUGCCGACCGGGGAUCGACGGAUGUUGCUUUUUGGUCUCUGUCAACACCUUAUUGGAAACCAAAGUGUUUGGGUUCAGACCAAG